CUUUGUGCGGGGCACUGGGAGGGUCUUAGCCCUUCCGAGGCUCGGCGUGGCCAGGCUGGGAUCCCCCCACACGUACGUCCAUCCGCAUCUUAAAAGAAAAAACAAUUCGGGAGGCUAGAUCGCUCUGAGGGGUAUUUUUAAUUCGGAAGAAAGGAAUAGAGGAACACUGCCUUCUCUGCAAAACGAGCAUCCUCUGCAGGGAGCGGCAGGAGAGCUGUAGAAGUGCAACACACUAUGUCUCAAGGCUCCAGCCAAGCACACCGAUGCAGUGUGUAUCUGGGGGACAAACAGGAGAGGGCCUGAGCGGAGAUGAGCCCCCAGAGGACUUCAGGUGGGGGACACAAGAGGAUAGCACCUGCCCUUCGUGCCCUGCCAUUUAUUUCUCUCUAGCAACACACUAUGUCUCAAGGCUCCAGCCAGGCACACUGAUGUCUGGGGGAAAAGCAGGAGAGGUCCUGAGCGGAGAUGAGCCCCCAGAGGACUUUGGGUGGGGGACACAAGAGGAUAGCACCUGCCCUUUGUGCCCUGCCAUCGAUUUCUGUCUAGAGUCUCGCUGUGUUGCCCAGGCUGGAGUGCAAUCGUGUGAUCUCGGCUCACCGCAACCUCUUCCUUCAAGGUUCAAGCAACUCUCCUGCCUCGGCCUCCCAAGUAGCUAGGAUUACAGUCACUUGCCACCAUGCCCAG